UUUGGUGCCAGCAGCCGCGGUAAUUCCAGCUCCAAUAGCGUAUAUUAAAGUUGUUGCGGUUAAAAAGCUCGUAGUUGGACUUGUGUCCCACGCCGUCGGUUCGUCGCCCGUCGACGUAACCGCACGGUUAUGUGAGUGGGACGUCCAGCCGGUGGGUCGUCAGGUCGUGUGCUAUGCUGGCCGCGCCUCUUGGCGGUGUUUUUCGUGGGCGCGUCGUGGCGUGUGUCGGGGAGUGCGUCGUUCGUCCGCGUUCGUCGUUUCACCCUGGCCCGUCAAUUAAAACGGCACGUUUCGCGAGGCCCGUCUCUCAGGGUGUCGCUGUGUCGGCGCGCACGGUGCCGGACCCAUGUUACUCGUCUCGGUGCUCUUAAUCGAGUGUCUUGACGGGCCGGCUCGUUUACUUUGAACAAAUUAGAGUGCUUAAAGCAGGCCAAUUGCCGCCUGAAUAUUGUGUGCAUGGAAUAAUGGAAUAGGAUCUCGGUUCUAUUUUGUUGGUUUUCUGAACCAGAGAUAAUGAUUAAUAGAGACUGACGGGGGCAUUCGUAUUGCGACGUUAGAGGUGAAAUUCUUGGAUCGUCGCAAGACGAACAUAAGCGAAAGCAUUUGCCAAGAAAGCUUUCAUUAAUCAAGAACGAAAGUUAGAGGUUCGAAGGCGAUCAGAUACCGCCCUAGUUCUAACCAUAAACGAUGCCAACUAGCGAUCCGCCGGUGUUCCUCCGAUGACCCGGCGGGCAGCUUCCGGGAACCAAAGUGUUUGGGUUCCGGGGGAAGUAUGGUUACUUAAAGGAAUUGACGGAGARGCACACCAGGAAUGGAGCCUGCGGCUUAAUUUGACUCAACACGGGAAACCUCACCAGGCCCGGACACUGGAAGGAUUGACAGAUUGAUAGCUCUUUCUUGAUUCAGUGGGUGGUGGUGCAUGGCCGUUCUUAGUUGGUGGAGCGAUUUGUCUGGUUAAUUCCGAUAACGAACGAGACUCUGGCCUGCUAACUAGUCGCACAUUGACGACAUCCGCAUUCGUGCUGUCGGCGACAAAUAUAAACUCUUCUUAGAGGGACAGGCGGCUUCUAGCCGCACGAGAUUGAGCAAUAACAGGUCUGUGAUGCCCUUAGAUGUUCUGGGCCGCACGCGCGCUACACUGAAUGGUUCAACGUGUGUCUUCCCUUGACCGAGAGGUCCGGGUAACCCGCUGAAAUCCAUUCGUGCUAGGGAUCGGGGCUUGUAAUUAUUCCCCGUGAACGAGGAAUUCCCAGUAAGCGCGAGUCAUAAGCUCGCGUUGAUUACGUCCCCUGCCCUUUGUACACACCGCCCGUCGCUACUACCGAUUGAAUGAUUUAGUGAGGUCUUCGGACAGUCGCGCGGCGGCGCACGCAAGUGCCCGUCGAUGUUCAACUGGAAGAUGAUCAAACUUGAUUAUUUAGAGGAAUAA
rnacentral:rRNA from 1 species